rnacentral:rRNA from 1 species
AGAACGAACGCUGGCGGCAUGCCUAACACAUGCAAGUCGAACGCUCUUGGUUUCGGCCAAGGGAGUGGCGCACGGGUGAGUAACGCGUGGGAACCUGCCCUGGAGUGGGGGAUAACCGAGGGAAACCUCGGCUAAUACCGCAUACGACCUGAGGGUGAAAGAUUUAUCGCUCUAGGAGGGGCCCGCGUCGGAUUAGCUAGUUGGUGAGGUAACGGCCCACCAAGGCUAUGAUCCGUAGCUGGUCUGAGAGGAUGAUCAGCCACACUGGGACUGAGACACGGCCCAGACUCCUACGGGAGGCAGCAGUGGGGAAUAUUGGACAAUGGGCGCAAGCCUGAUCCAGCAAUGCCGCGUGAGUGAUGAAGGCCUUAGGGUUGUAAAGCUCUUUCACACGCGACGAUGAUGACGGUAGCGUGAGAAGAAGCCCCGGCUAACUUCGCGCCAGCAGCCGC